GGCGGGCGGGGGCAAGCGGUCUGUAAAACCGUCGGCUCAGCCUACGCAAGUUCGAACCUUGCACCUGCCACCA
rnacentral:tRNA from 1 species